rnacentral:tRNA from 1 species
GGUUCCAUGGUGUAGUGCGUUCAGCACUCAGGACUCUGAAUCCUGCCGGGACUGCCCGAGUUCAAAUCUCGGUGGGACCU